rnacentral:sRNA from 1 species
AAAAAAAAACUCAAAUUCAUCCAUUUUUUUUGUGUUUUUAAAUUUUUUCUUUAAAUGAUAUAGGAGUGUAGAUGAAAAAAUUAAAGCCAUU